rnacentral:rRNA from 1 species
AUCGAAAGCCCGAGGCGAGAGUGAAAGCGGAGACGCGCGCCCGCUUCGUGCGGCGCGCGUCGCGGCGCGAUCCCGCCCGCCCCGCCGGGGGGCGCAGCGCCCGCCCGCGUCGUCCGGUCGUCGUCGUUCGCGGCGGCGGCGCGGUGAGGCGGAGCCCGAGCGCGAGCGACGAGACCCGAAAGAUGGUGAACUAUGCCUGAGCAGGGCGACGCCAGAGGAAACUCUGGUGGAGGCCCGCAGCGCUUCUGACGUGCAAAUCGAUCGUCGUACUCGGGUAUAGGGGCGAAAGACUAAUCGAACCAUCUAGUAGCUGGUUCCCUCCGAAGUUUCCCUCAUGAUAGCCGGCGCUCGCUCGAGAAGCAGUUUCAUCCGGUAAAGCGAAUGAUUAGAGGCCUCGGGGACGAAACGUCCUCGACCUAUUCUCAAACUUUAAAUGGGUGAGAAGCCCGGCUCGCCCGAUCGGAGCCGCGGCGUCCACUAGUCGAAUGCACGAGCG